rnacentral:rRNA from 11 species
UGAGGAUGCCUAAAUACCCUGAAGGCACCAGAUGCCUUCUUCUCUUGGAAGCUAAGCCUAGUCAGGAUUGGUUAGUGCUUAGAAUGAAGACAAAAAGGGAAUAGCAAUCUGUCUGUGCAA